GACAGAGGAUGCAAGCGUUAUCCGGAAUGAUUGGGCGUAAAGCGUCUGUAGGUGGCUUUUUAAGUCCGCCGUCAAAUCCCAGGCUCAACCCUGGACAGGCGGUGGAAACUACCAAGCUGGAGUACGGUAGGGGCAGAGGGAAUUUCCGGUGGAGCGGUGAAAUGCGUAGAGAUCAGCAGGAACACCCGUGGCGAAGGCGGCCACCUGGGCCUAACCUGACGCUGAGGCGCGAAGGCUAGGGGAGCGAACGGG
rnacentral:rRNA from 1 species